GACGAACGCUGGCGGCGUGCUUAACACAUGCAAGUCGAGCGGAAAGGCCCUUCGGGGUACUCGAGCGGCGAACGGGUGCGUCACACGUGAGUAACCUGCCCCAGACUUUGGGAUAACCCUCGGAAACGGGGGCUAAUACCGGAUACGACACAGCUUCGCAUGGGGUCUGUGUGGAAAGUUUUUCGGUUUGGGAUGGGCUCGCGGCCUAUCAGCUUGUUGGUGGGGUGAUGGCCUACCAAGGCGACGACGGGUAGCCGGCCUGAGAGGGCGACCGGCCACAAUGGGACUGAGACACGGCCCAGACUCCUACGGGAGGCAGCAGUGGGGAAUAUUGCACAAUGGGCGGAAGCCUGAUGCAGCGACGCCGCGUGAGGGAUGACGGCCUUCGGGUUGUAAACCUCUUUCAGCAGGGACGAAGCGUAAGUGACGGUACCUGCAGAAGAAGCGCCGGCCAACUACGUG
rnacentral:rRNA from 1 species